UACGUAGGGUGCAAGCGUUAAUCGGAAUUACUGGGCGUAAAGCGUGCGCAGGCGGUUUUGUAAGUCUGACGUGAAAUCCCCGGGCUCAACCUGGGAAUUGCGUUGGAGACUGCAAGGCUAGAAUCUGGCAGAGGGGGGUAGAAUUCCACGUGUAGCAGUGAAAUGCGUAGAGAUGUUGAGGAACACCGAUGGCGAAGUCAGCCCCCUGGGUCAAGAUUGACGCUCAUGCACGAAAGCGUGGGGAGCAAACAGG
rnacentral:rRNA from 1 species